rnacentral:rRNA from 1 species
UACGGGGGGGGCAAGCGUUGUUCGGAAUUACUGGGCGUAAAGGGCUUGUAGGUGGCCAACUAAGUCAGACGUGAAAUCCCUCGGCUUAACCGGGGAACUGCGUCUGAUAUUGGAUGGCUGGAGUGUGGGAGAGGGAUGCGGAAUUCCAGGUGUAGCGGUGAAAUGCGUAGAUAUCUGGAGGAACACCGGUGGCGAAGGCGGCAUCCUGGACCAUUACUGACACUGAAAAGCGAAAGCCAGGGGAGCAAACGGG